rnacentral:rRNA from 1 species
AAGCUCGUAGUUGAAUUUCGGGGUUAGUAGGUUGGUCAUGCCUCUGGUAUGUACUGGUCUCACUGAUUCCUCCUUCCUGAUGAACCGUAAUGCCAUUAAUUUGGUGUUGCGGGGAAUUUGGACUGUUACUUUGAAAAAAUUAGAGUGUUUAAAGCAAGCUAACGCUUGAAUACAUUAGCAUGGAAUAAUGAGAUAGGACGUUCGAUCCUAUCUUGUUGGUUUCUAGGAUUGACGUAAUGAUUAAUAGGGAUAGUUGGG